rnacentral:ncRNA from 14 species
ACAACGGCUCUUUUAAGAGCCAAACACCGAGUCCGUGAAGAGACG